CGAACGGGUGAGUAACACGUGAGUAACCUGCCCCCUUCUUCUGGAUAACCGCAUGAAAGUGUGGCUAAUACGGGAUAUUCUGGGUCUGUCGCAUGAUGGGUCUGGGAAAGAUAUUGUUUCGGUGGGGGAUGGGCUCGCGGCCUAUCAGCUUGUUGGUGGGGUGAUGGCCUACCAAGGCGGUGACGGGUAGCCGGCCUGAGAGGGUGGACGGUCACACUGGGACUGAGACACGGCCCAG
rnacentral:rRNA from 1 species